rnacentral:rRNA from 1 species
UACGGAGGGUGCGAGCGUUGUCCGGAAUCACUGGGCGUAAAGGGCGCGUAGGUGGCGCGACAAGUCAACGGUGAAAGCCCGGGGCUCAACCCCGGGUCGGCCGUCGAUACUGUUGGGCUUGAGCACUGUAGAGGCAGGUGGAAUUCCGGGUGUAGCGGUGGAAUGCGUAGAGAUCCGGAAGAACACCGGUGGCGAAGGCGGCCUGCUGGGCAUUACCUGACGCUGAGGAGCGAAAGCGUGGGGAGCAAACAGG